rnacentral:tRNA from 1 species
UGACUUAGUAGUAGAGUGCUUGCCUUGCAUGCAAGAAGCCCUGGGUUCAAGUCCUCAG